rnacentral:lncRNA from 1 species
CUAGAACAGAGCUUGGCAUGUGAUGGGCUUCCACUGUUUAAUGAAUAAAUGAAGGAGUAAAUGAAUCAAGAUAACCUCGUACAUCUCUUCAAGGUGGAACUGGAAAGCCUCCCAGAGGAACUCGUCAGAAAGAAAUAAGGCCUACAAGAGUUUUAACCAGUAACCGAGAAAGUUGUCAAGACAGUGGACCAGGCCUGCACCUUACUAAUGUCAAGCUAAGAGUGUGAGAGAGACUGCUCCACAUGGGCCACUGGCUUGCUGGCCUAAGACAGCUGGUCUUCAGACUAGAUUUAACACUGUUCAAAAGCAUCGGCUUAUUUAGGAAGGAGCCCUUUGACAUAAUCAUCAUUAGUCAUACGCACUUUUAUGAUCAGCAGUUUUUAAUGGUAUCCUGCAGUUAUCCAAAUAUUUAUUAGUCCUGUCAAUAUGAUUUACACAAGGCUUCAAAAAGAAUUCUGAUUUUUAAGCGGAUUAUUAAAAAAUUAUGACAUGUUGACCUAUCCUCAUGAAUGAAAAUAAAAAU